UGGGGAAUUUUGGACAAUGGGCGCAAGCCUGAUCCAGCCAUGCCGCGUGUCUGAAGAAGGCCUUCGGGUUGUAAAGGACUUUUGUCAGGGAAGAAAAGGCUGUUGCUAAUAUCAGCGGCUGAUGACGGUACCUGAAGAAUAAGCACCGGCUAACUACGUGCCAGCAGCCGCGGUAAUACGUAGGGUGCAAGCGUUAAUCGGAAUUACUGGGCGUAAAGCGAGCGCAGACGGUUACUUAAGCAGGAUGUGAAAUCCCCGGGCUCAACCUGGGAACUGCGUUCUGAACUGGGUGACUAGAGUGUGUCAGAGGGAGGUAGAAUUCCACGUGUAGCAGUGAAAUGCGUAGAGAUGUGGAGGAAUACCGAUGGCGAAGGCAGCCUCCUGGGAUAACACUGACGUUCAUGCUCGAAAGCGUGGGUAGCAAACAGGAUUAGAUACCCUGGUAGUCCACGCCCUAAACGAUGUCAAUUAGCUGUUGGGCAACUUGAUUGUUCAGUAGCGUAGCUNACGCGUGAAAUUGACCGCCUGGGGAGUACGGUCGCAAGAUUA
rnacentral:rRNA from 1 species